ensembl:processed_transcript
GUUUCUACCCAUCAGACUUACAGUUCUGCUAGGCCCUCCAAAGUGGCGUCACGGUAGAGGAUCAUGCCAUCAAAUGGAAAAACAAGUUGUCUUUCUGACCUACCCAGGACUCAGGAAGCUGAAUUCACAAGGUAGCAGUAGUCCCAGUGUGGUGGGCGCCAGGCUGGAAACCCACCAUGAAGAAGGUCCAUGCCGGAAUCAGCAAGGCCACAGCAGCAGCGCUGGUGUAGAACUGCAGCUCCGGGGCCCUGCAGGGACAGAGGAUAUUUGCUCUUUCCGAUGCUUGAGUCUAGGCUUCUACACAGAUCCUCUCAGAGAAGAACCUAAAGAAUCAACAAUCUAGAACUAUGUCUCCCACAAUACAAUGAUACAGUUCACCAUGAACUGAA